rnacentral:rRNA from 1 species
UUCUUCGGAUGAAGAGGAUUGUGACUGAGCGGCGGACGGGUGAGUAACGCGUGGGUAACCUGCCUCAUACAGGGGGAUAACAGUUAGAAAUGACUGCUAAUACCGCAUAAGCGCACAGUACCGCAUGGUACGGUGUGAAAAACUCCGGUGGUACAAGAUGGACCCGCGUCUGAUUAGCUGGUUGGUGAGGUAACGGCCCACCAAGGCGACGAUCAGUAGCCGACUUGAGAGAGUGAUCGGCCACAUUGGAACUGAGACACGGUCCAAACUCC